AACGAACGCUGGCGGCAGGCUUAACACAUGCAAGUCGAGCGCCCCGCAAGGGGAGCGGCAGACGGGUGAGUAACGCGUGGGAACGUACCUUUUGCUACGGAAUAACUCAGGGAAACUUGUGCUAAUACCGUAUGUGCCCUUCGGGGGAAAGAUUUAUCGGCAAAGGAUCGGCCCGCGUUGGAUUAGCUAGUUGGUGAGGUAAAGGCUCACCAAGGCGACGAUCCAUAGCUGGUCUGAGAGGAUGAUCAGCCACACUGGGACUGAGACACGGCCCAGACUCCUACGGGAGGCAGCAGUGGGGAAUAUUGGACAAUGGGCGCAAGCCUGAUCCAGCCAUGCCGCGUGAGUGAUGAAGGCCCUAGGGUUGUAAAGCUCUUUCACCGGUGAAGAUAAUGACGGUAACCGGAGAAGAAGCCCCGGCUAACUUCGUGC
rnacentral:rRNA from 2 species